UCGCUUUAAGAUGAGCCUACGGCGGAUUAGCUUGUGGUAAGGUAAUGGCUACCAAGGCAACGAUCCGUACUGGUCUGAGAGGACGAUCAGCCACACUGGGACUGAAUACGGCCAGACUCCUACGGGAGGCAGCAGUGGGGAAUAUUGGACAAUGGGCGAAAGCCUGAUCCAGCAAUGCCGCGUGUGUGAUGAAGGCCUGCGGGUUGUAAAGCACUUUCAGUGGGGAAGAAAUGCUCAAGGCUAAUAUCCUUGAGAGUUGACAUUACCCACAGAAGAAGCACCGGCUAACUCUGUGCCAGCAGCCGCGGUAAUACAGAGGGUGCAAGCGUUAAUCGGAGUUACUGGGCGUAAAGGGCGUGUAGGCGGAUGUUUAAGUCGAUUGUGAAAUACCUGGGCUUAACCUGGGAAUUGCAGUCGAUACUGAAUAUCUAGAGUAUGGGAGAGGAAAGUGGAAUUCCCGGUGUAGCGAUAAAAUGCGUAGAUAUCGGGAGGAACACCAGUGCGAAGGCGGCUUUCUGGACCAAUACUGACGCUGAGGCGCGAAAGCGUGGGGAGCAAACAGGAUUAGAUACCCUGGUAGUCCAUGCUGUAAACGAUGAGAACUAGAUGUCAGAAGG
rnacentral:rRNA from 1 species